GGCAAGAGUAACCACCACCGAGAAGGGGACCCGAGGGGCGGACCACCCUCGCUGGGGGCCAUCGGCGGGGGCCCGCCCCGGAAGCCCCGGGCCCGCCCCUUCCGCCCACCGCGCCGUCGAGCCUCUCUUCUCUGGUGUUAGGGUAGGUCUUUCGUUUGGGCCUUCGUAAGUUCGAAUCCCACUCUCCCUGGCCACCCCACGCCCCUUCUGGCACCCGUUAACAUCUCACGAGCACCCAGUUGGUGGUUUCUGAGGAAAAUCAAUUUCUAACAGCACGUUUCAGGGACCAAGGACCAAUGCCUCAGUGAUCCAAUAAUUGGAUCACAGCAACUGAGAUCUCUCCAAGCAAUGAAGAAGUAGCCAUUACUUCCCAGAAGCAAGAAAGGGAAGAAGACGAGAAGACUGAAGCUAUAUUCCCUUCUUAAGGAAAAAGGAAGAAGAGUACUGCAUG